rnacentral:rRNA from 1 species
UACGGAGGGUGCGAGCAUUGUCCGGAAUCAUUGGGCGUAAAGGGCGCGUAGGCGGUCAGCACAAGUCAGUUGUGAAAUCUCCGGGCUUAACUCGGAAAGGUCAACUGAUACUGUGCGACUAGAGUGCAGAAGGGGCAACUGGAAUUCUCGGUGUAGCGGUGAAAUGCGUAGAUAUCGAGAGGAACACCUGCGGCGAAGGCGGGUUGCUGGGCUGACACUGACGCUGAUGCGCGAAAGCCAGGGGAGCGAACGGG